rnacentral:rRNA from 1 species
ACUGAGCGGCGGACGGGUGAGUAACGCGUGGGCAACCUGCCUCAUACAGGGGGAUAACAGUUAGAAAUGACUGCUAAUACCGCAUAAGACCGCGGUACCGCAUGGUACAGCGGUAAAAACUCCGGUGGUAUGAGAUGGGCCCGCGUCUGAUUAGCUAGUUGGCGGGGUAACGGCCCACCAAGGCGACGAUCAGUAGCCGACCUGAGAGGGUGACCGGCCACAUUGGGACUGAGACACGGCCCAAACUCCUACGGAAGGCAGCAG